UACGUAGGGGGCUAGCGUUGUCCGGAAUCAUUGGGCGUAAAGAGCGUGUAGGCGGCUCGGUAAGUCCGCUCUGAAAGCCCGGGGCUCAACCCCGGGAGGCGGGCGGAUACUGUCGAGCUAGAGUCCGGAAGAGGCGAGUGGAAUUCCUGGUGUAGCGGUGGAAUGCGCAGAUAUCAGGAGGAACACCAAUAGCGAAGGCAGCUCGCUGGGACGGUACUGACGCUAAGGAGCGAAAGCGUGGGGAGCAAACAGG
rnacentral:rRNA from 1 species